GGUCUCUUCUGGAGCAAAACCAGUAAACAAGCACACGCAGGUCAUGUCACGUGUGACCUAUGGAGAACAGGAAGGCAGGGCAUGGGAAAAGGGGCUCUGCGUAUUGGAGUGAGGGCCUUUUCCACAGCAUGCUCAGAGUUGGCCUCUCUAUUCAGGGACACUUGAGCAGAGACCGGAAGGCAGUGAGGCCAUGAGCCACAGCAGGCAUCGUGGGGAAGCGACCCAGGCAGGGGGGCAGGUAGACAUGAAGGACUGGGUGGGGGCGAGUUGGCACAACUGGGAACAGCAAGAGGCCGGUGUGGCUGGAGUGGGAUGAAUGAGGAGGGGAGAUGGUUGGGCAUGAGGUCAGAGAGACCACUGUAAACUGAACGUUGUGUCCCCCCACAAAAUUCAUAUAUUGAAACCUAGUCCCCAGUGUGAUGGCUGGAGGUUAAGCCUUUGGAAGGUGAUCAGGUCAUGAGGGCAGAGCCAUUAGGAAUGACAUUAGUGCUCUUAUGAAAGGGGACCCAGAGAGCUUCCUCGCCCCUUCCUCUGUGUGAAAACACAAUAAUGCCCAUCUAUGAACAAGAGGGCCCUCCUCAGACACUAAAGUUGCUGGUGCCUUGGUCUUGGACUUCCCAGUCUCCAGAACUGUAAGAAAUACAUACAUUUCUGUCGUUUAUAAGCUGCCCAGUCUGUGGUGGUUUUUUUUGUAGCAGCCUGAGCAGACUAAGACCAACAGUCUCAAGUUCAGGGUCAAGGUCCAGGCUAGGGAUACAAUUUGCAAAUCAAUACUAUAUUGAUAGCAUUGGAAGUUACAGGACUGGGAGAGAUGACACAGGGAGGCAGUGCAGGUAGAGCAAAGGUCUGAUGAAUGAGCAUUCCAGGAUUUAUUUAGAGCAGAUGAGAGGAAACCAGCACAAGAUACUGAGAAGGAAUAGGUAGUGAGCUAAAAGGAGAAAUCAAAAAGUGAUCCAGGAAGGAGGAUCCAAAAGUGAUCCAAAGAAAGUCAUCCAGGAAGGAGGGAAUGAGCUACGGGCAAAUGCUGCAGAUAGAUCAAGUAUAAUGAGGACUGAGAAUUGACCAUAGAACAGUGACUGGCACAUAGUAGGUGGUCAACAAAUAUUUGUAGAAUGAAUGAACGUCUUAUAAUGAUCAGAUCACAAUUAUUAUCUAUUACAAAUGUUAUUUAGUAUUGAUUAUCAUCAGUGACCUUCAUAAGAGCUUUUUGUUGAGUGGUGGCAGCUAAAAGAUAAGUGGAGUGGGUUCAAGAGAGGAUAGAGAUGAGAAACUGGAGACAGAAAGUAUAAACAUGCAUUUAAAAAAUAAAUUUGCUGCAAAGACAAUCAAAGAAUUGGAACAGGCCAAAUGCAGUGGCUCACGCCUGCUAUCCCUUUAGGGGGAGGCAGGAGGAUUGCUUGAGCCCAGGAGUUCAAGACCAGCCUGGACAAUGUAGCAAGACCCCAUCUCUCAAAAAAAAAUUUAAAAAUUAGCCAGGUAUGGUAGUAUGCAACUGUAGUAGCUACUUUGGAGGUUGAUGAAGGAGAAUCACUUGAGCCCAGGAGUUCAAGGCUACAGGGCUACAGUGAGCUAUGGUUGUGCCACUGCACUCCAGCCUGGGUGACAGGGCAAGAUCCUAUCUCUAAAAAAAAAAAAAGAAAAAGAAAAGAAAAG
ensembl:lncRNA